GCCGGGAGUGGUGGUGCAUGCCUGUAAUCCCAGCUACUCGGGAGGCUGAGGUGGGAGAAUCGCUUGAACCUGGGAGGCAGAGGUUGCAGUGAGCCGAGAUCAUGCCAUUGCACUCUAGCCUGGGUGACAGAGUGAGACUCCACCUCAA
rnacentral:SRP_RNA from 1 species